rnacentral:lncRNA from 13 species
GUCUAAGAGAGGCUGGAAAGCAGGAGUCAGCUCUGCUCUGAUGAGACCAGAGGAGCAAAAGGCAGUGACUGUCUCCUGAUGCCCCUUAAUCUGUGACCACCUAUGGGUCACCCAUCCUGUUAGUUAUUCCUCCUCCCCAAGGGGAGAGAGAUGGGAAAGGUUCACUCGAACCCCCACUACUUUGUAGGCUGGGAAGAGGAAGACUCUCCCUUGGUAGAGAUGUGAAGAAGAGAAAAUGAAGAUUAUCCUCCAAGGAUACUUAACCAAAGUAGCCACUUAACUUCUUCCUUAAAAAGGGACAUAAUUGUCCUUUUUUCCCCCUGCAAUGGACUGAAUUGCACCCCUCCCUAAAUUCAUAUGCUGGAACCCUAACCCCAAAUGUAUUUAGAGAGGAGGGCUUUGGGAGAUAAUUAGGUUCAGAUGAAUUCAUAAGGAUAGUGCCUUCAUGAUGGGAUUACCGCCUUUAUAAGAAGAAAGAAGAGAAAUUGGACAGCUUGCCCACACCUGCUUGCUCUCUCUCUCUCUGCCAUGUGAGGACAUAACAAGAAGUCAAGUCAGCUGUCUACAAGCCAGGAAGAAAGCCCUUACCAGAAUCCACCAUCCUGGCACCCUGAUCUUGGACUUCCAGCCUCCAGAACCGUGAGAAAAUAAAUUUCUGUCUUUUAAGCCACCUGGUCUAUGGUAUUUUGUAAUGGCAGCCCAAGCAAACUAAUACACCUUAGCAAAAAAGGUGACAUUCCUGAUUUUUCACUUUAUUUUUAUCUUGACAUUUGCUAUUCUAAAUGUACUUAUUUUUAAAUUGCAAGCAACCUGAAUUUUUAUAUUUUCUAUAGGCAACUAAUCAUAAACCUGGAAUUCUAAGGCGAACAUGCAUAAGACACGGUGAGCAAACCAAGAUGUUCUCUGGGCAUGACUUGAACAAGCCAGGAUCAGUGAGAACGGGAGUAAUCAGGCACCAAAGAAGGCCCAGAGAGGCUUAACAACUUCCUCAGAAUCACACAGCUUGCAAAGGGUCGGGCUGGGUUUACGUGUAGGCAGUCUGGCUCCAGAGCCGGUACUCCCAACCAUUGCAAGCAACAAACCUCAACGAAGUGGAGAAGGAAAUGCUGGGAAAUUUGGAAGUCAGCCAUGGCCUGUGAAGACCUUUUAAAAUGCUCCGUUUUGGUCAGAAAGUGCUGGGACCCUGGGCUGGCACACCCAACACUCACCAGGAACGAAGUACCUGCUGCCUGUUUUGGACUCGUGUUGGCAGCUUGUUAGCUUUCAUGCCGCCAUUCUCUCUCUCUCUUUUUUUUUAAUUGACAAGACUCUAAUACAAAGUUAUAUUUAUUUUCAACAAUGAAAACAACACAACGUGGAGUCAAUCCACUAUUUAGCACAAUGUUUAGCACAAACUCUACUCAAUAAAUAGAAACACAUUAACCA